AUUGAACGCUGGCGGCAGGCCUAACACAUGCAAGUCGAGCGAGAGGCGGACGGGUGAGUAAUGUCUGGGAGACUGCCUGAUGGAGGGGGAUAACUACUGGAAACGGUAGAUAAUACCGCAUACCAUCAGAUGUGCCCAGAUGGGAGUAGCUAGUAGGUGGGGUAACGGCGCACAUAGGCGACGAUCCCUAGCUGGGCUGAGAGGAUGACAAGCCACACUGGAACUGAGACACGGUCCAGAUUCCUACGGGAGGCAGCAGUGGGGAAUAUUGCACAAUGGGCGCAAGCCUGAUGCAGCCAUGCCGCGUGUGUGAAGAAGGCCUUCGGGUUGUAAAGCACUUUCAGCGUGGAGGCGUUACCCGCAGAAGAAGCACCGGCUAACUCCGUGCCAGCAGCCGCGGUAAUUC
rnacentral:rRNA from 1 species